CAAGUACUCCCUCCGUCCGGAAAUACUUGUCCGAGAGAUGGAUGUACCUAGACGUAUUUUAGUUCUAGAUACAUCCACUUAUAUUCAUUUGUGAGACAAGUAAUUCCGGACGGAGGUAGUAUGGA
rnacentral:pre_miRNA from 1 species